rnacentral:rRNA from 1 species
ACAUGCCUACAACACGACAUUAAUGCACCAGAUCCCAUUAGAACUCUGCAGUUAAGCGCGCUUAGGCUAGAUUAAUACUGGGAUGGGUGACCACCCAAGAAGUCCUUGUGUUUUACAUGCC